GUUCUCGUGGCCUAGUGGUUAUGGCAUCUGUCUUACACACAGAAGAUCCCCGGUUCGAUCCCGGGCGAGAACA